CUCGCCGAACUUUUGUCCUCACGCUUUGAACCCGCUCUGCAUCUGUGAGUGAACUGCGAUGGGGCUCCUAUGUGCCACUUUUCCAAUAGGGUUUACGUUUCUAAUUGCAAAGCUCGCCAUUUCCGGCUUCUGAUAUCCUGUAAGUUUACAUUGCUCAAACCCCUUCUUUCUAUUUCCGAUCAAUGUUUCGUUUUUUUUCCAAAUUACUCUUAAAUAAUACCAUCAUCCGCUACAAAUCGUAUCCUCGUUAUAUUUCAUCUCUAAAUUCAGCCUCAAGCUCAAAUGACCAACAACAUUUAACACUCAAUUACCUCAGCAACUCAUGUGGGAUGUCUCUACAAAUGGCCACUUCAGCCAGCAAGUUUGUUCAUAUUAGGAGCACAGAUAAAGCUGAUUUGGUUCUUCAACUGUUAAGAGCUAAAGGGUUUACUCAAUCUCAAAUUGCUAGCUUAAUUUCAAGGCGACCACAACUUAUUCUAUCAGAUCCCGAUAAAAUCCUUAGACCCAAGAUUGAAUACUUUGAGUCACUGGGUCUUUUAGCUCCCUGGCUGCCCAGGGCGCUAUGUGCAGACCCAAGGAUUCUGGCAGCUAGUUUAAAGAAUCGAAUUUUGCCAAAUGCUGAUUUCCUUAGAGGGUUUCUUGAGACCGAGGAGAAUUUUACAUCAUCAAUUCAGUAUCCAACCUAAGU
rnacentral:misc_RNA from 1 species